rnacentral:rRNA from 1 species
CCCCAGACUCCUACGGGAGGCAGCAGUGGGGAAUAUUGCACAAUGGGGGAAACCCUGAUGCAGCGACGCCGCGUGAGUGAAGAAGUAUUUCGGUAUGUAAAGCUCUAUCAGCAGGGAAGAAAAUGACGGUACCUGACUAAGAAGCCCCGGCUAACUACGUGCCAGCAGCCGCGGUAAUACGUAGGGGGCAAGCGUUAUCCGGAUUUACUGGGUGUAAAGGGAGCGUAGACGGCAUGGCAAGUCAGAUGUGGAAGCCCGGGGCUCAACCCCGGGACUGCAUUUGAAACUGUCAGGCUGGAGUGCAGGAGAGGUAAGUGGAAUUCCUAGUGUAGCGGUGAAAUGCGUAGAUAUUAGGAGGAACACCAGUGGCGAAGGCGGCUUACUGGACUGUAACUGACGUUGAGGCUCGAAAGCGUGGGGAGCAAACAGGAUUAGAUACCCGAGUA